AACUGCCCGAUGGAGGGGGAUAACUACUGGAAACGGUAGCUUAUACCGCAUAACGCCGCGACCGGGGGGACCUUCGGGCCUCACACCUCGGAUGUGCCCAAUGGGAUUACUAGAGGUGGGGUAAUGGCUCCCUAGCACAUCCCUACUGGUCUGAGAGGAUGACCAGCCCCUGGAACUGAGACCGGCCAACUCCUACGGGAGGCUCUAGGGGAAUAUUGCACAAUGGGCGCAAGCCUGAUGCAGCCAUGCCGCGUGUAUGAAGAAGGCCUUCGGGUUGUAAAGUACUUUCAGCGGGGAGGAAGGCGGUGAGGUUAAUAACCUUGCCGAUUGACGUUACCCGCAGAAGAAGCACCGGCUAACUCCGUGCCCCAGCAGCCCGCGGUAAUACGGAGGGUGCAAGCGUUAAUCGGAAUUACUGGGCGUAAAGCGCACGCAGGCGGUCUGUUAAGUCAGAUGUGAAAUCCCCGGGCUUAACCUGGGAACUGCAUUUGAAACUGGCAGGCUUGAGUCUCGUAGAGGGGGGUAGAAUUCCAGGUGUAGCGGUGAAAUGCGUAGAGAUCUGGAGGAAUACCGGUGGCGAAGGCGGCCCCCUGGACGAAGACUGACGCUCAGGUGCGAAAGCGUGGGGAGCAAACAGGAUUAGAUACCCUGGUAGUCCACGCCGUAAACGAUGUCGACUUGGAGGUUGUGCCCUUGAGGCGUGGCUUCCGGAGCUAACGCGUUAAGUCGACCGCCUGGGGAGUACGGCCGCAAGGUUAAAACUCAAAUGAAUUGACGGGGGCCCGCACAAGCGGUGGAGCAUGUGGUUUAAUUCGAUGCAACGCGAAGAACCUUACCUGGCCUUGACAUCCAGAGAACUUAGCAGAGAUGCUUUGGUGCCUUCGGGAACUCUGAGACAGGUGCUGCAUGGCUGUCGUCAGCUCGUGUUGUGAAAUGUUGGGUUAAGUCCCGCAACGAGCGCAACCCUUAUCCUUUGUUGCCAGCGGUUCGGCCGGGAACUCAAAGGAGACUGCCGGUGAUAAACCGGAGGAAGGUGGGGAUGAAGUCAAGUCUUCAUGGCCCUUACGGCCAGGUCCACACACGYGCUACAAUGGCGCAUACAAAGAGAAGCGACCUCGCGAGACCAAGCGGACCUCAUAAAGUGCGUCGUAGUCCGGAUUGGAGUCUGCAACUCGACUCCAUGAAGUCGGAAUCGAUCGUAAUCGUAGAUCAGAAUGCUACGGUGAAUACGUUCCCGGGCCUUGUACACACCGCCCGUCACACCAUGGGAGU
rnacentral:rRNA from 2 species